GAUGAACGCUGGCGGCGUGCCUAAUACAUGCAAGUCGAGCGAACAGACGAGGAGCUUGCUCCUCUGACGUUAGCGGCGGACGGGUGAGUAACACGUGGAUAACCUACCUAUAAGACUGGGAUAACUUCGGGAAACCGGAGCUAAUACCGGAUAAUAUAUUGAACCGCAUGGUUCAAUAGUGAAAGACGGUUUUGCUGUCACUUAUAGAUGGAUCCGCGCCGCAUUAGCUAGUUGGUAAGGUAACGGCUUACCAAGGCAACGAUGCGUAGCCGACCUGAGAGGAUGAUCGGCCACACUGGAACUGAGACACGGUCCAGACUCCUACGGGAGGCAGCAGUAGGGAAUCUUCCGCAAUGGGCGAAAGCCUGACGGAGCAACGCCGCGUGAGUGAUGAAGGUCUUCGGAUCGUAAAACUCUUUUAUUAGGGAAGAACAAAUGUGUAAGUAACUAUGCACGUCUUGACGGUACCUAAUCAGAAAGCCACGGCUAACUACGUG
rnacentral:rRNA from 1 species